UGUGUACCAUGCCUGGUGUCCAGGCAGGCCAGAAGAGGGUGUCAGGUCCUCUGGAACUGGAAUUACAAGUGGAUGUCAGCCACCAUGCAGGUGCUGAGAGUUGAAUCCAGGUCCAUUGGAAGAGCAGCCCUGAUCUUAACAAGCUGAGCCAUCUCUCCAGUCCUCCCGUGUUUACUCUUAAGUAAAACUGUUCUUAUGUUUGGCUCCUUCCUGUCGUUAAGAUGAGUUCCUUCUCAAAAUGUGAUGCAGUAGUGGAAGGUUCUGGAGUCAGAGGGACUGAGCGGGAUGGAGUUCGGGCGCCAUCUCUGGCUAAGUGCGGUUGUUUUGGUUUUCCCUGGGCACAGAGGCUCAUUACCCCAGGCCGACUUGGAACUUCCGGAGGAUGGCCUUGAAUCAAGAGAGUCCUCUGCUUCCACCUCUGAAUAUGGGGAUUACAAGCAGAGCCAUUGCUACUCUUGUUAUAGGGGCUGGCAUUGGUUACUCCGCAGCCAAAGGGUUUACUGACUCGAUGACUGUGGGAAAGGGCAGGGUGGGGCUGGGCUCUCUUCUGCCAGUUAUCACCGUUUUUUUGACUCCCUUGUAAGUCUACUCAUUGACUAGAUGGCCAGUAUGGUUAAUAGUUUUGUUCCUGUAAAUUCUUCCUACCUCGUGAUCUCCCUUCGCAGAUUGAAAACUCAAAAGAAUUCUGAUUGGCUGCUGGGAUCAUGUGUUCAUGACUAGCCAAUCACUACAAACCGGAGCUUUUGAGCUCUGUGGCUAACAGGCCUACCGGACUGUGCAUAGGGAAGCGGUCUGUUUGCUAAGGCUGGGGCUUUAAGGGGUCUGUUCAUAGGAAACUGUUGUCUGUCUCAUUUCUCCUGUUAUUGUCCGGCUUAUUGUCCUGCUCAGGUGUUGUCUCCUAGAUCAAGCUGGGCUUGUAGGGAAAGCAGGAGACCGGGGUUCUGCCCCUAGGCCCCCUCCUUCAGUGGUAACCAGUCAGGAUCUGCUGAGCUCUGAGCCCAGGGCUUCAACUUCCUAUGCAUGAGUGUCUCUGAGCACUUGCUGUGUACCGAGGAUCCUGAGGGAGUGGGACAUUGCCUGCUCCUCGGGGUACAUAUUCUAUUUAAGCUGCAUGCAGAGUAAAAGGAAGACAAGCAUCAGGGCUCUGAGGUUUUUGCCCUAUUUUUGAACAGACCAAUCAAGCACAAGGCUGUCUUCCCAGAAGAAAGUCUUUCCCCCCCUCCCCUGGUUAGCCUGCUGUCUUUUGGACAGGGGAAUGUGUCUGUCUCUGCAGCCCUCUCCCUGUGACUCGGAAAGGCCUUGUUAGUUUGGUCUCUUGUAACAGUUGUACACUGGAAGCGUUUUCUGCCGACAUUCCUCUUUCCCUACUUCCACGCAGCGUCCCAGCCCCCAGCUCUGUUGUUAUCUCCGUUGCCAGGGCGCUCUCAUGCUUGCUCAGGCAGAAGGGGGCUUCUGUUGGCAUGGAUUCAGCUGGAAGCGAGGAAGAAAAGCUAGUUGGAAGAGAAACAGCACAUCCCAGCCUGGGAACGGAAACCAUGGGCGGGCAGUUUGCUUCUGUCCCAGUCCAGGCUAAGGCAUCUAAGCCCAGGGCCUGACUUGUAAGGGAAAGAGCGCCGUGCUUGCCGCUUCCUUCUGUCCUUUCUUUUCCUUUUUUCUCUUCUCUUCUCUUUCUUUUUUUUUUUCUUUCGGUUUUUGUUUUUUGUUUGUUUGUUUUGUUUUGUUUUGUUUUUUUGAGAGAUAGAGAUAGAUAAAUAGAUAGCUUCUCUGGGUAGUCCUGGCUGUCCUGGAACUUGUUCUGUAGACUAGGCUGCCCUUGAACUCACAGAGCUCCACCUGGCUCUGCCUCCCAAGUGCUGGGAUUAAAGUUGUGUGUCACCUGGCCCAGCCACGACACUCUUUUGUUUGUUUGUUUGUUUUGUUUUUGGAGACAGGGUUUCUCUGUAUAGCCCUGGCUGUCCUGGAACACACUCUGUAGACCAGGCUGGCCUUGAACUCAGAAAUCUACCUGCCUCUGCCUCCUGAGUGCUGGGACUAAAGGCGUGCGCCAUCACUGCCCAGCCACAACACUUUUUAAAAGCAUUUUCUUAGCUUUGCCUUGUUGAGGUGGUUGUGGUGUUUAAUCACUGCUGUUGGAACUAAGAUGACAAAUACUGGGCUGGUGAGAUGGCUCAGUGGGUAAGAGCACCCGACUGCUCUUCCAAAGCUCCGGAGUUCAAAUCCCAGCAACCACAUGGUGGCUCACAACCAUCCAUAACGAGAUCUGACUCCCUCUUCUGGAGUGUCUGAAGACAGCUACAGUGUACUUACAUAUAAUAAAUAAAUAAAUAAAUCUUAAAAAAAAAAAGAUGACAAAUACUUUAAAUCCUCUAUCCUAUAACUUGUUUUCUCUUAAGAAUUUGAGUCAUAAUUAUGUUUGUUUUUCUUCUGGCUGCUUUAAAGAUUUUUUUUUUCUUACUCUGUUUUGAGCACUUUUUUUAUGCUUUUUAAUUUUAUUUAUUUAUUUAUUUAUUUAUUUAAUUUAAUUUAUGUGAGUGCAUUGCAGCUGUCUUGAGACACACCAGAAGAUGACAGCAAAUCUUAUUACAGAUGGUUGUGAGCCACCAUGUGGUUGCUGGGAAUUGGACUCAAGACCUCUGGAAAAGCAGUCAGUGCUCUUAUCCGCUGAGUCAUCUCUCCAGCCCCCCUUUUAUGCUUUGAGAUAAGGGUGUGUGUAUGCUCGCGCUUGUGUGCUUAGAUCAUUAUUUUUUGAAAGUUUUUUUUUACCUAGUGCCAGGUUUGUUUCUUUUCAGGUAGUUUUUGCUGUUGUGUGUUCACAUUUACCAGUCUCCCCUGUAGUAUGAGUCCUACUACAUUGAACAUAGAGCAGAGUUAAACCUGUUUUUUGUUGUUGAGACAGGGUCUUGUUGUCUAACCUUGUCAACUGGUCUGGUACUUAAUGAUAUAGCACAGUCUACUUUAACUUGAAACAAUCCUCCUGUCUCAGUUUCCCAAGUGCUAGGAUUAUAGGUAUGACUGGGUUGUAACAAUUAUAAUCAUCUUAUAAUUGGUCCUGGCUGUGGCUGUCGAUAUACCUCAGUUGUCAGGGUGAUUGUCUCAAAUUCAGGAAGGCUGGGUUAUUUCCUCAGAACUAUAUAAACUAGAUAUAGUGGUUCUGCCUAUAAUCCACCUGGAAUCCCACUACACAGGAGGGAGCUGCAAGAAGAGUAGAAGUUCAAGGUGAUUCUUAGCUAUGUGGUGAGUUUGAGGGUAGCCUGGGCUAUCUCAGACCCAGAGGCUGGAGGGAUAGCUCAGCAAUCAAGAACACUUUGGCAUAGGACCCAGGUUCAAGUCUCAGACCCAUAUGGCAGCUCACACCUGUCUGUAACUCGAAUUCGAAGGGGUCUGAUGCUCUCUUCUGACCUCUGCAGGCUCCUGCAUGCAUGUGGUGCACAUACACAGACAAACACACACACACAUUUAAGUACAUACAUACAUACAUACAUGAAAGUAAAACAAAUAAAUAACUAAAAAUAAAAAAAACCACCCAAUCGCAAAACCAGUCUCCCAGGUCUGGCGUCUGUGCUUGUGCAGCUUUGUAACUGGCUGAGGGUUUUCUUUACGUCAUGGUUAUCGCCCCAUCUUUUGUACAUAAUCGGAAACUUUUGGUUGAAUCACAAGUGUAAACUUUUCCUUGUUGGGUACUAUAUUUCUGUAUGCCUAUUGAAGUUUUUUCUUGGGAACUGUUUGUCCUUUUAAGGUCUGUUAGAUAUGGCUGGCAGAUGAGUAGUGCCAGUACUCACGAGUCUGAGAUGAAGGCAUCUGAGGGUGGCCAGCCUGAACGCCCAUGUUAUCUUAAAAGCCCCACACUGGGUGUUUAUAUGGCUAUAGUUCAGCACUCAGGGGUUAAACAGAAGGGGAGUUCAAGGUAGUUCUGGGCUAUUUGAGAACCCCUUACAUUUGAAUAAUAGCAGUGUGAAGACAUUAGCCACCCUAUUAGGAGUAGGAGGUGCCUGCUGCACUGGCCUCUGAACCCUCUCCUUUGGUGGGUGACUCCCUCUGCCUCUCCUUUCUUGUGUCUUUGGCCACUGCUUAUCAUAGUCUAGAGCAGUCUCCUUACUGUCUCUGCCACCUCGCCCCAAGUGUCACAGGAUGGCCAGGCCCACUGUCCCUUAACAAACCACUGGGACUUGUGGUCUCAGAGUUGAAGGAAUCCCAGUGAGAACUGACCUGGAGAGAAGUGACAAUUUGAGAACAAAGCUCUUCCCAAGAGCUCUGGCCUUCCAGAGAAGAGGCCCGUUUAGACCCUUGGGACCCUUAGGUGAGAGGACUGAGGGCACUGACUGACAGGCUGCCCAUCCACUGCCUCCAUCUGGGGGCACAGAGGAGUGCACACACCUUCAUUUCCUUGGUGCUUGCACAGAGGCCCCUUGUUAGCCUGGUGCAGGGUCACUAACCUAUGCCGAGAGAUGCUAAAGUGCUGGAGUUUAGCAUAUGAUUUUUUUUUUUUUUAACCAAUCUACCGAGAAGUAAUUUUUUUGUCAGAGGAUUUUUCUGCCUGCUGUCUUGGGUUGCCAAAUGGUUGUUUCUGGGCAUACUGAGCCUCCCCGAUGCCGUGGUGCCAGAAUACUAAGCUUUCAGAGUCUGGGUGCAGCAGGCAAAGCAAUGGCUCACGCAGAAGCAGGCCACGGAGAGAGACAGGCAGCCUGUUUUUGAUCCUCUGCCUGCUACUUUUUUUUAGUAUUAUACUGAUUUUUGUGUAUAUGCACAUGGGUACUUACAUGCCAGUAUGCUGGUAGAGGUCAGAGGACAACCUGUAGGAGUUGGUUCUCCUUUUACCGUCUGGGUCUCCCAGACUGAGCUCCUGCCGUCAGGCUUGGGAGUAAGCAACUUCAUCUGUUGCAUCGUCUCACUAGCCCCUCCCCACCUGCUUAGGAUGACAUGUCAUGUAUCCCAGGAAGCCUCAAACUAGCUAUGUAGCCAAGGAUGACCUUGAACUUCACAUCCUUCUGACUGGCUCAGAUUAUAGGUCUGCACCACUACACCUGGUUUCUGGGCUUCUGGGGAUAGAACCCAGGGCAUGGGGUACACUAGGCUGUGAGCUGUAUCCCUGCCUCUGUGUGUACCUUGAACAAGUGAUAAACUCUUUGUGUCUCAUUAUCCUAAUCUGUUAAGUAAGACAAUAAUAUAAUACAUACCUAUGGGGUCAAUGGGAGGAUGGUAGAUGACCAACAAUCCCUUCCCCCCUCCCCAAAAGUACCAAUAAGCAUGGAAAGUGCCAAUCAUGACACCUGUCAUCCUGGACAUGUUGGGCAAGGCAAGGAAAGAGGGAGAGGAGAAAGAAGUAAGCAGUGUGGCUUGAGUGCCCCAUCCAUCCAGUAUUCUCUUAGAGAUUACCUUCCUCUCUGACCAUGAAAGUGUUAGCACCACUCUCACUUUCAGAGUGAUCUAAUAACUUAGCCUGCCUCUUGUUCAGCAUCAGGGCCAGAAUUCUUUUGGUAGCAAGCCCCAUGAUCCCUUCAUGCCCUAGUGCUAAUUGGCUUUAGCCACGGGUUGGGAAUGCUCAGGCUGGCAUUGACAGGAGUGACAAGAUGCUUUUGUAUGUGAUACAUGUGUGGGUGUGGACACGGAUGCAUGUGUGCUGGUGUGUGUGCACAGGGAUGUGGAGGCCAGAGAUCAGUGUCGGGUUUCUUCCGUAGUUCUACCUUCGUUUUCGAGACAGGUUCCUCACUGAACCUAGCAUUCAGGGAUUCAGCUAGGCUGCCUGGCCAUGAUCUCCAAAGAUCCACCGACCUUCAUCUCCCCAGCACGGGGUUACAGCUGUGCAUCCCUGGUGUUUUAUGUGCUUGCUGGGGGCAGAGCCCAGCUACUCAGGCUUACGCAGAAAGCAUUUGGUUUUUUGUUUUGUUUUUCCCAAGCUGUAAGGUUUGUCUGUGUUUUGUUUUUCAAGACAGGGUUUCUCUCUGUAGCCCUGGCUGUCCUGGAACUCACUGUGUAGACCAGGCUGGCCUUGACUUCACAGAAAUCCGCCUGCUCCUGCCUCCCAAGUGGAGGAGUUACAGAUGUGCACUAAUCCAAUUCGGGUCCAGGCUGUUUUACAAAUACAUGUCUCGGUCUGUGUGUGCACAUGGACAGUUUUGAUUGUUUUAAUCUCGGGGCUGAUGAUUAUAUUUUCCUGUUAAAAUAGGCUCUGACCAGAAAUUCUGCACUUUCAUAUACCAGUGACAGACAUUUUCUGAGCCUGUACUGCAUGUCAGACUCUGUGCUCAGCAUGUCACAUACCUAAUUUUGACUAGCAUCUUCUUGAGAUGGGUGUUGUCACCAUGAGGAUUGGUGAGGUUAAGCAAUUGGCUCAGUAUGAUGAUGGUGGAGCUGGACCAGGGAGCUGGCCACCUGGACAUGCUGUAAGCCAGCAGAUCCUGUUCCCUAGACCAUGCAGAUGUCUCAGCCAGCUUUACACAAAACACACAGUUUGCCGUUUCAGUGCCUCUGGGUGGGUCAGCUAUUCUGUAAGGCUGUUAAUUGUGAGGCUUAUUUCUUUCCUCUUUGUCUGUGUUAAACAGAGAAGAGGCUUUUUUUUUCUUUUUUUCUCUCUCUCUAGAAUCUUCUUUGCAGAGUACUGUAUUCCCUGUGUGUUAGCUGAUGAAGUCAGCAGGGUUUUGGACUCCCAUUUCCUGGUCAUUCGCAAGUACUUAUUUUACCAUCUCUAAAUGGAGUGCAUUAGCUCCAGGCCACGGAGAGCAAAUUAGGGGAGCAGGGAGAUGCAUCGCGAGAACGAGGCUGCUUGGGAAAAUGUGCCUGUGCCUCUGGCUGGACUCCCCAGCUGUGGGAGUAAAUACACGGAUGUCAGGGUGUCAUUCCACGGCUGUUGCAGAAUGAAGCUGGCAGUCUACAGGACAGAUGACAGAUGAGCCCCUGCCCUGCUUUCAGUAAAAUGGCCAGUGGCUUGAUACCUAGUUGUGGUCUCCUAACUCAAGGGUCUCUGAAAAUCUUCACAGCACAAUGAGGCAAGAACCCUUGAAAGAUGGCUAGAAUAGAUGAAGCAAGCCUUCUUAGCUGCUCACUGUGUUUCUGGGGAAAUACUGUCUGGAGUGUGCUGGUGUUUGCUGUGUGGUUUAUACUGAUUGGGAAAGAAGUGCAUAUGCCACUCCCCCUGCCCUCCCAUCUUACUUCCACUGGGUGUAGAUCAUGACUUUUGGAAGGACUGCAGACACUGUCCAUUCUAUGAAGCUGCUUCCCGAACCCACCUUGUCCGUGCUGAGGCCCUCGGCCUGCAGGGGGUGUGUAGGCAUGCUUUCUCCACAUCUGUUGAGAUGCUUUGGGCUGUCUCACCUAUACUGAAUGUGGAAUCAUCACAGUAGACAGACCUCUGUUCUUUCAGGAGAAUCUAGCUGACCUUGGCCUAGAAGAAAGGAAGUCCUCUCUAGUUGUCCACCGCCGUCACCGCCGGAUGCCUUGUAGAAGAGGUUUCUAGUCCUGGGUGAAAGUUUCUCCCUGAGUCGCUCUGCUUCUUAGGGUAUCUCUUGCAUGCUGUCUUUUGAAUAGCUGUUAGGAGGGUCUAAUGAAGCAACUGUCUGGAGACCAAUGUUUAUUUCAACAUGGUUGCAGUUGCUUUUGCUUUGGCUUUCAGAGCCAAUAAAGCUGGUCAUUAGAUUCUGUAAUUGCUGCUGUAAUUACUCUCUUGGAACUGGCAAAGGCAUAAUUAAAUAUGGAGAUUUCACAGACUUUUUUUUCCUCAUCUAAAAGCAACCUCUUAAACUUCUGUUGGUAGGGUUAAAUUUAGGCUACUAGAGCCAGUGUGUUUAUAUAGGACCCUAAGUUCUGUAGCAGAAGAUGGCCUUCUCUGAAGAUUCGGCUUUGAUGAACAGCUGUUCCUUAGCUUCCAAUUUGUUUCUUUAAUCCAACCAUCCAGAUUUUGGGGAGUUUGGCCCCCAAGCCAGUUUGCAUUUGUUUAUGUAAAUACUGGGUUUGGGCUUUGUGGACUUUGGCCAUGUAGAAAAGCAAGUCUGGUUGGAGAUCUGGUUAGAGCUGGGUAUGAUGGCUCAUACCUGUAAUCCCGUCAGCACCCGAGAGUCUGAGACAGGGUGAUUGCUGAGAGUUCAGGGCCAACCUGGACUAUUGAGUGAAUUCCAAGCCUGCCUGAACUGUAGUAUAAGUUUUCUCAAACUCCCACUACCUCAAAUAGAUAGCCAGGUGGAAUGGAGGGAGUCUUACUUGGACAGUGUUCAGAAAGAAGUGUGUCAUUUGGCCCAUGGAGCACUAGGUUCCCCCAGGUUCCCUCCACUGCGACUUCCCACAGUUGUAAGGCAUAGGAAGUGAAGUGCUGUGAUACCUGUGUUUGCACAUGUUCCUGUGGGCCAGUGCUGACCAAAUGGGUUGCUUUAUUUGUGAAACAUUUGAGGGGUUUCUCAGAGUGUAGCUGUCAGGUAAUUUAAAAAUACAGACUUUAGAAGGGAUAGGAGAAAAAACAUCCACGGUCCCUGCCACACAGCAGCCUGGGGAGGCCACUGCUUUCUGGCUAAGCUUUCUAAGCCUGCAGAAGGAGGGUGACCCUGGAGCCAGGGUGUUUGCUGGGCCUUUCCUUAGGUUUUACAUACUUACCUUAAUAGUGAGGGGCUUGCAAGAGAUCCUGUUAUAUGAACCAAUAAGACAGGGAGACGUGUACCACACCUGUAACUCCUACAUAGAACAUGUAUCUUCCUCUGGUUACUCUGAUAUGCUCAUUGCAAGUGGACAGUAUCAUUAAAUUUAAAAAAAAAA